rnacentral:rRNA from 1 species
AUGGCCACCAAGUCCCAAAAGAAGAAGAAGCUCUCCGCCCCCAACCCCUCCAUCGACGCCAAGGCCCCCUCCCCCAAACAAAAGCCUACCCCUCAGAAACCCGCGGAGGAGCCAGAGACGGCGGCGGCGGCCGCCAAGAAGCCGAAGCCGAAGAAGCAGAAGGUGGGCAAGGAGGUCUCUGCCAAGAAGCCGAAGGAGGGCAAGCAGGUCUCUGCCAAGAAGCAGAAGGAAAGCAAGGAGGUCUCUGCCAAGAAGCCCAAGAAGCAGAAGGAGAGCAACGAGAUCGACGAGAUCUUCGAGGCCACCAAGAAGCGCAAGCUGCAGGAGGAAGAGGAGGAAGAGUCCGAGGGGGACAAGAAGCCCAGGAAGGGCAAGGCCGAGGGGGCUAGCAAGAAGAAGAGCAAGAAGGAGACUGGGGGCAAAGGCUGGGAGCCCGGCCACGAUGACGAGGUCGAGGAGAAGCGGCCGCGGCGGCGCACCAACGACGGGCUCACCAUAUACUCCGCCGACGAGCUCGGGUUCGGCAAGGCCGACGCCGGCGGCACUGCCCUCUGCCCCUUCGACUGCGACUGCUGCUUCUGA